rnacentral:rRNA from 1 species
AUACGUAGGGGGCGAGCGUUGUCCGGAAUGAUUGGGCGUAAAGGGCGCGUAGGCGGCGCGGUAAGUCUGGAGUGAAAGUCCUGCUUUCAAGGUGGGAAUUGCUUUGGAUACUGCCGCGCUUGAGUGCAGGAGAGGUUAUCGGAAUUCCCGGUGUAGCGGUGAAAUGCGUAGAGAUCGGGAGGAACACCAGUGGCGAAGGCGGGUAACUGGACUGCAACUGACGCCGAGGCGCGAAAGUGUGGGGAGCAAACAGGAUUAGAUACCCUGGUAGUCCACACUGUAAACGAUGAGCACUAGGUGUCGGGCUAGCAAUAGUUCGGUGCCGCAGUUAACGCAAUAAGUGCUCCGCCUGGGGAGUACGCACGCAAGUGUGAAACUCAAAGGAAUUGACGGGG